GAUGAACGCUAGCGGCAGGCCUAAUACAUGCAAGUCGAGGGGGCAGCAAUGUCACCGGCGAACGGGUGCGUAACACGUUUGGAAUCUGCCCUUUACUGGGGGAGUAGCCCGCCGAAAGGCGGAUUAAUACCGCAUAUGCUCGUGGUCUGGCAUCAGGCAGCGAGGAAAGGCUUCGGCCGGUAAGGGAUAACCAUGCGGCUGAUUAGCUAGUUGGCGGGGUAGAAGCCCACCAAGGCGACGAUCAGUAGGGGACCUGAGAGGGCGAUCCCCACCACGGGCGACU
rnacentral:rRNA from 1 species